AUGAGAUUGCAUUAUCAUCCAGGAAAGGCCAAUGUCGUAGCAGACGCGUUAAGCCGCAAGAGUUAUGUUAACACGCUCAUGACCGGAGGAUUACCUAAGGAGUUAGCCGACGACCUUCGAGAGCUAUGCUUGGAGAUAGUUCUGAGAGGUUAUGUUGCAGCGUUGGAAAUUCAGUCUACUUUGUUGGGUAAGAUCAGAGAAGCCCAGAAGACAAACAAGGAGAUUGCUGAAAUAAAGGAAAGGAUGAGUAAAGGGAAGGCCAAAGGAUUUCAUGAGGAUGAGCACGACACUAUGGUUUGA
rnacentral:rRNA from 1 species